ensembl:lncRNA
GCUCCCUGCAGGGAGACAGCGUGGCGGAGCUGGUCCAAGUCUGCUGGGUCUGUCAUGGCCAGUUCGUACUAUCAUGACACAAGGGGAGACCCAGAUGCAGACAGAGAGGCAGAUGGUUGGAGUCUUACAAUGUUUAUUAAUCCAAAGGGGUAGGCAAGAGAAUGGUUGUGGACAGGCAAAAAGGUCAAAACCAGAUCAGAGUCCAGGAGGUACAGAGUGGCAGACAGGCUCUGGGUCAAGGCAGGCAGAAGGGUCAGGCAGGCGGGUAUAAAGUCCAGAAACAGACAAGGAUCAAAAUCGGGAGGACUAGAAAAAGGAGGAUGCAAAAAGCAGGAGAACAGGAAAACCACUGGUUGACUUGGAAACAUAUAAGACGAACUGGCACAGAGAGACAGGAAACACAGUGAUAAAUACACUGGGGAAAAUCAGCGACACCUGGAGGGGGUGGAGAUAAUAACGGGGAUAGGUGAAACAGAUCAGGGUGUGAAUGCUUUUUCUUUGCAACUCUGCCUAGAAGGCCAGCAUCCCGGAGACGCCUCUUCACUGUUGAUGUUGAGACUGGUGUUUUGCGGGUACUAUUUAAUGAAGCUGCCAGUUGAGGACUUGUGAGGCGUCUGUUUCUCAAACUAGACACUCUAAUGCACUUGUCCUCUUGCUCAGUUGUGCACCGGGGCCUCCCACUCCUCUUUCUAUUCUGGUUAGGGCCAGUUUGCGCUGUUCUGUGAAGGGAGUAGUACACAGCGUUGUAGGAGAUCUUCAGUUUCUAGAGAGGGAGGGAGUGAGAAUGUAUGGUAAGAGUAGAAAGGGAGGAAGAGAGAGAAUGAGGGAAGAGUAGAGAGGGAGGGAGAGAGAGAAUGAGGGUAAGAAGAGGGAGGGAGAGAGAGAAUGAGGGUAAGAGUAAAGAGAGAGAAUGAGGGUAAGAAGAGGGAGGGAGAGAGAGAAUGAGGGUAAGAGUAAAGAGAGAGAAUGAG